ensembl:lncRNA
GAGAACCUUUAUAAAGAACUGCAGAGGGAGAUUAGAGACAGGACAGGGUGCAAGGAAGCAGUUUGCUGCCUUUUUUGUGCUGUUCUAGUAGCAUCCCAGCCAAGACCAUGGGUCAGUGUCAAGCAAGACUUCUGCAGCAAUGGUGAACAAAAUGGUUGCCAGCCUUGUAAAACUGGAGUGAAACUUGAGGCAGGAUUCACAGAGGUAGUUUCCAGCCUUUGCCUGGUGGAAGUUGGUUGGGGACAAGGCAGCAAGUUAAGUACAAGCACAACUCGAGUUUCUCCGGGAAGGGAAGUUCAAUGUGAGGUGAGGGAUCAUCUGCUUUCUUACCCCUUUUUCCCCUCUUGCCUAAGGCAGCUCAGAAACAAGCCCUUCUGCCUCACAGCUGUGUGCAAGGCAGGAUUACAAGGAAUUUACCUUGGAAGCUCAAAGGUAUUUUUUUUUUUGUGCUGCCUUCUGAACUGAGGGCUACUAGGCUGUGUUGGGAAAGGGCUGAGAUGCGUAGGGAGCAGUGCAGACCACACCUCCUGGCUUGGACCGGCUCUGAUCCUCUAUUUACAGUGGCGGUGUUCCUUCCCUGCUAGCUUUCUGCUGUGGAAUAUACUGCUGCUUCCAGGGAAGGGGAGCAACACUGUCCUGCUGCUCCAGGUAUUGGGGGACACCUGCAGAGAGACAAAAUGGGGUGGAGGGGAGGGAAGAAUGUCUCUCAUUUGGGCAAAGUAUUAUUUUAGCAGGAAGUCUGGACGAGUUUGUGAGUUGCUGUGUCUCAGCAGAGUUUCUCCCUAGGAAUUUUCUGUUCUGACUUCCUGCUUUUGCUUUAAAGCAGCAGAGUGGAGCUCACUGAGUGCAGUGGCAUUGUAUAUCACUGCAAAAACCAGUUGUUAUUCCCAUGACAGAGGAAGGAAAAAUUAUUGAUUGGUUUUCAAGAGCUGGGGGUACUUAAUUAAUUAAUGCUUCAGUUUGGAUCACUCAAGGUCUUUGCAAAUGUUGCAUUGAAGUAACUUGCUCUCAGCUCUGAUGUGGUUCUGCAAGAUGCUUAACUGAUUCUAGUGACUUACUAAUUUGGGAAACUGCUGAUUUGGAGUAAUAGAUAAAUAUUAGAAUGUGUGAGAUAGCUUUUAAUGAGACCAGCUCAAGACAUCCAUUUAUUUCAUUUUUUUUUUUUAAAAAAAACCACUAAGGUUUUUCUGCUGCAUGCUUUCUGAAGACAGCUAUAAAUUUUUCUUUAGAAGUAUUUGGCAGGAAAUUUCCCGCUAUCUCUCCUAAACAUAGCUAUUCCCCUAUUCCCCUCCACCCUUUUUUGUAAUCCCACGUCAUUGUUCCUGCUGUGGGCUUCUGACUCAGUGACAGCUUAUGUCAAAGAGAGGAAUAUCCCCCCAAGCCUGCAGUGAUUUUACUUUUCCUAGAGCAGCUGUACAUGCUGAACCAAAGCACCUCUCAAAUGGCAUCUGCUUCCAACUUUGCUUCAAAUGCUGUUGCUUGCUUUGAUUGUUCCUUGUGCUGAGCUGGGCCUGGGAUGCCAGGAACAGGUGCCCUUCAUGUGUUAUCCUGCUUUGUGGAGGAGAAGCUCAAGGCUUGUGUUCUCUAGUUUUUUGUCUUGUAGAAGUCUGAGGUUUUUUUUGUAUUUUGUUGUGAUUGUCCCUUCUGAGUGAGAAAAGGAGAGGAUAUUUCUGAUACCUUGUACUAGAUCCUGGGAUCCUUGUACAUUCAGACUGAUCCUUUCUUUUUUUGGGAUGGGGGCUGGUGGUAUUUGGGUUCAAGACUCUACCUGUGCUCCCCUCAGUGGUCUGACAGCCAAGAGGUGUCUACUCAGGGCAUGAACUUCACCCUUUUCCAGCACAUAGGUUACACUGGUAUUUCAAGAAAGGUGUUUUGCACAGCAUAGCCAACAGCUCCUGAGCUCACAGGAAGGAGUGUAUUUUUACCUUUAUACUCACUCUUUGCAGGUAGAUCAAGAGGUGAGAGGUAACCAAGUGUCACACAUCUGUGCAAAGGGGAAUUUUCCUCUCUGAGAGGCAGAGAAUGGGUUAACCAUCUUCCUGGAAAUUGGCUUCACCCACCUGCCUUAGCUCAUUUGUUGUUUUAACAACAUUUGCAGAAAGGUCAAACUGUCCUUGCAUCCCUCCUGGGCAAAACCAAUACAGCAUCAGCCAGAGAGAUACUUGCACAGUGAGCUGUGGUGCCCAGAAAGCCUGUCCAUACUCAUUCCUACUCGUUAAUGUUUACAAACCUUUUUUAGUUUUUUAAGUGCAUCCUGCAAGUUCAGAACAGUGAGGUAAAGUUUUUCCUGCUGAUCCCAUCCCGAACAUGUAGCCUAGAAAAUAUUAUGGGGGUGAGAUAGUGGUGCCCAGCUCUCAAAAUAUUGGAGGAGAACUUCUUGGGAUGAGGAAAAUAUGCUUGAAUUUCUUGCAUCUCCCCAGCAGUUGUAUCCAGCCCUUUGGGUAAGGAGGUUUUAGGUGUUGCAGAGAACUUGCUGUCUUAGCUGGAGAAGAAAUUGCUGGUUACCACAUGUAUUCAGUAAACAAUGUGAAUGUUUUACUAAAAAGAAGUUUUUCCUUUGAAAGGAGAAAAGGAUUGGGCAAUCUGAUGUUGUGGUUUGAUAUUUUAUCUGUGCCUGUGCAUGCUGGGGGAGCAAUCUGAGGACAACAUAAGCCUUUGAAUUUUUGUUUGUGCGAGGCUGAUUUCAAGACAAAGGAUCUUGAUCAACAAAGGUGAGGCUCUUGCGCACUUCUCUGAGCUCACACCUUGGUACUCCAGGUGAGAUGGCAUUGUCACAGGAUUUUUGGUCUUUGUACUGAGAGGGCAGUGGAGUGGCUGAGGAAAACUUGCAGCUGGCCAGGAGGGACUUGUGCUCAAGUCAGUGGGUUGGCUGUUGGGAAAUAAAAUGAAGAAGUGGCAAAACA